rnacentral:snRNA from 1 species
UAACAAUAAAGAAUGAUACAAAGAAGAUUAGCAUGGCCCCUGCACAAGGAUGACACACAAAAUUCAUGAAGCGUUCCAUAAAAAA